AGAGUUUGAUCCUGGCUCAGAAUCAACGCUGGCGGCGUGCCUCAGACAUGCAAGUCGAACGCGAAAGUUUCCUUCGGGAGAUGAGUAGAGUGGCGCACGGGUGAGUAACACGUAGGUAAUCUACCUUCGGGUGGGGAAUAACCCAGGGAAACUUGGGCUAAUACCGCAUAAUGCAGCGGCACCACAUGGUGACAGUUGUUAAAGCGGGGGAUCUUCGGAUCUCGCGCCUGAAGAGGAGCCUGCGGCAGAUUAGCUAGUUGGUAAGGUAACGGCUUACCAAGGCGACGAUCUGUAGCCGGCCUGAGAGGGCGGUCGGCCACACUGACACUGACAUACGGGUCAGACUCCUACGGGAGGCAGCAAUCGGGAAUUUUGGGCAAUGGGCGAAAGCCUGACCCAGCAACGCCGCGUGAAGGAUGAAAUCCCUCGGGAUGUAAACUUCGCAAGAAUAGGAAGAAUUAGUAGGGGUUAAUACCCUCUAUGAUGACGGUACUAUUUAAGCCCCCCC
rnacentral:rRNA from 1 species